UACGGAGGGUGCUAGCGUUGUUCGGAAUCACUGGGCGUAAAGCGCGUGUAGGCGGCCCGAUAAGUCCGCUGUGAAAGUCCAGGGCUCAACCCUGGAAUGCCGGUGGAUACUGUCGGGCUCGAGUCCGGAAGAGGCGAGUGGAAUCCUGGUGUAGCGGUGAAAUGCGCAGAUAUCAGGAGGAACACCGAUGGCGAAGGCAGCUCGCUGGGACGGUACUGACGCUGAGACGCGAAAGCGUGGGGAGCGAACAGG
rnacentral:rRNA from 1 species